CCCCCCCCCCCCCCCCCCCCCCCCCCCCCCCCCCCCCCCCCCCCCCCCCCCCCCCGGGGGCGCUGGGGAAGGGCUGGGUCACGGCGUGGGGCGGUGCCCCCCAAAGACUGCCCCCGAGCCGAGCCCAGCCAGACCCGACCCUCAGCAGGGGCAUUCCCAGCUGGAGCAGCCACAGGAUGGGGGCACAGCCUUGCGGUUAUAGUGGUUUUUCUCUUCUACUUCUCUGCUUUUAAUUACCUUUUUUUAAUUUAUUUUUUUUUUGUUUAAAUACAUCCAACUGUGUUAAUUUCUUAUUUGUGGAAAGGGCUAUCUGCACCAUAACUAUCACCUUUACAUACACACACGCACACACGAAAAAGGAAACAUAUAUUAAAAACACUUUUUAAGCAAUACUCUGGAUACAAAUGUAUUUUUUAACCUACAUAUAUUCUAAACCUUCUAAACUUUUAAGGAUCACUUUAUCAUAAAAUAAAAUAUCCUUUUUUCUUAUAAUAAAUUACCUAAUAAAAAGUAUUUUUAUUAGCCCAGUUCCUUGCUACAUUUACAUGUAAUAAAUGCAUUUAUUAAAAUAGAAUAUUAAAUUAUAAAGAAAUGUUCUAAUUUUAAAAUCUUAAUCUUUUUUUCCCUCCUCUCUCUCUCUUUAAAAAACACCAGGAAAUGCAUCAAAAUAAACCCUUCAAACACCAAACAAAACAGGUUGGAGUAUUUUGAUUUCAGAGGUUAACAAUAUUAACAGUCUGAGCCUUUGUAUGUAUGAAGAUUAUUAUUUUUUUAAGAAAGAAAGAAAAGAGAAAAAAAUAAUAGAUAUCCCUCCAGCUGAAAAAUACUUUUGCAAAUGGGAGCUAGGACAAGAUAUUUUUAUAGUAUCUCCUCAUUAACUAUAAAUCCAAUUUUGGUUCUUUCUUCUUUCUUUUAUUAUGCAUUAUAACACACACUAUUCUCUAUAUAAUUUAUGUCGAUGAGGAUGACAUCACAGCAUGAUAUUACUUUAUCCCUCCGUUUCCCUUUGUUAUGUUUUGUCACCCGCUCCCCCGCACCGUCCCUCCGCCGGGAGUGGCUGUCCCCGCCCCAAACACCGCCCGAGGACGCAGCUCUGGGGACGCGGCACUGUCGCGACAUCCCCGACCGGGUCGCACCUCCCCGGCGCGCCGGGAGCGGGGAGCGCUCGCCCCCACAGCCCUGGCACGGCUCGGCUCCGCCCGGGAGGGCACACCCGCGAGGAAAGGUGGUGGGACGAGUCCCAAACCCAGCGCGGCCCCGAAGCCCCGCUCCUUGUUCGCAGCCAGCGCCGAAAUCGGGACAGUUUGGUGAAAUACAGGUGGAAAUCUCGGCCCGGAACCGGGCGGGCAUCGAGUUACAGCCGCUGCAUCCCGGGGAUGGCACCGAGUUACAGCCGCUCCAUCCCAUUGAUGGUACUGCGUUACAGCCGCUCCAUCCCGGGGAUGGCACCGCGGUACAGCCGCUCCAUCCCAGUGAUGGCACCGCGUUACAGCCACUCCAUCCCGGGGACGGCACUGAGUUACAGCCGCUCCAUCCCAGCCAUGGUACCACGGUACAGCCGCUCCAUCCCGGGGAUGGCACCACGGUACAGCCGCUCCAUCCCCGGGGCUGAUCCUGCCAAUCCUGCCCCUACCCAGACACGUCCUGCCAGCAGCCCAGCGCUUUCCAGCGCAGCUCUGCUCCCUCUGCUCCCAGCCCCGGUUUUUGGGCACCUGCCCUCAGUGCCACAGCUUGUGCCCGCGCGUCGCUGCCUCACAAAAGGGCUCCACUUCCAACAUUCACCCCAGAAUUGCUCAGCACGGCUCAGCUGCGUCCCCAGCCUGGCUCCGCCGGCCCCACGGGCUGAUGCAAACCCCGAGGAGCCCCCCACUCCCCAGCCGGGCGAGUGGAGACCCGCGGCUCCCGCGGGCACCGGCGCCCCUCAGGAGGUGCCCGUGUCCUGUCACCGCUCCCAGGAACCCACCCCGCUCUGGUGGGAUGUGAUUUUGCAGGAUGGAGGUCUCAUGGACCACGCUUCCCACAAGGGUCUUGCUGCUCCUAAUCCAGAGGGAGGAAGACCCAGUUUGGUGUGUCGGGUCCCAGCUCCAGCUGCCUCCCUCCAGCCCAGGUGCAAGUGGGGUGUCCCCAUCUCCUCAGCACUCCAAGGGGGUUAUCCCAAAAGCCUGGGAAGGAUCGUGGGGGCAGCUGAAGCCAGCGAGGCUCAGUCCAGCUGGUUCACAUUACAUCCUUGUGAGGGAAGGGAAGGGGAGAAGUGCAGGGACCCAGCUCGGUGGGCGCUGCAGAAAAGGGAUGGGUGCAGGAGGAGGGGGCUGUCUUUAGUUAUCGUUAUUGCUGGUGAAUUAGACCAACAAGCCAUUUUUAGUCACCUAUCAAGGAAGAUACAAGUCAGAGCAAAUAGUUAAGGUCAUGGGCAUUUUUCUUGUUUUUUGUUUUUAUUUUUUUUUUUUAAAGAUUUUUAUAUAUAUACAUAUAUUUAAAAAGAGCCCCCCCCCCCCCCCCCCCCCCCCCCCCCCCCCC
rnacentral:lncRNA from 1 species